GAUUAACGCUGGCGGCGUGCAUAACACAUGCAAGUCGAACGAUGAAACUUAACUGAUUUCUUCGGAAUGAUUUUAAGUGGAUUAGUGGCGGACGGGUGAGUAACGCGUGAGUAACCUGCCUUGGAGAAGGGGAUAGCCUUUGGAAACGAAGAAUAAUACCCUAUGAUAUGAUAAUAUCUCAUGAUAUUAUCAUCAAAGAUUUAUCGCUCUAAGAUGGACUUGCGUCUGAUUAGUUAGUUGGUGAGGUAACAGCUCACCAAGGCAGCGAUCAGUAGCCGGCUUGAGAGAGUGUACGGCCACAUUGGGACUGAGACACGGCCCAGACUCCUACGGGAGGCAGCAGUGGGGAAUUUUGCACAAUGGGGGAAACCCUGAUGCAGCGACGCCGCGUGAUUUAGAAGGCCUUCGGGUUGUAAAAAUCUUUUGUAUGGGAAGAAAAGGACAGUACCAUACGAAUAAGGACCGGCUAAUUACGU
rnacentral:rRNA from 1 species